rnacentral:rRNA from 1 species
UACAGAGGUCUCAAGCGUUGUUCGGAUUCAUUGGGCGUAAAGGGUGCGUAGGUGGCGCGGUAAGUCGGGUGUGAAAUUUCGGAGCUUAACUCCGAAACUGCAUUCGAUACUGCCGUGCUUGAGGACUGGAGAGGAGACUGGAAUUUACGGUGUAGCAGUGAAAUGCGUAGAGAUCGUAAGGAAGACCAGUGGCGAAGGCGGGUCUCUGGACAGUUCCUGACACUGAGACACGAGGGCCAGGGGAGCAAACGGG